rnacentral:rRNA from 1 species
AGCGAACGCUGGCGGCGUGCUUAACACAUGCAAGUCGAACGUGAAAGGGGGCAACCCUGAGUAAAGUGGCGUACGGGUGAGUAACGCGUAGACAAUCUACCUGAGUGUCUGGAAUAACCUGCCGAAAGGCGGGCUAAUACUGGAUAGAGCGACGGAACCUAUAAUGGGUUUUUCGGGAAAGGGAGGAAGCAAUUCCCCUCGCGCUCAGAUGAGUCUGCGUCCCAUCAGCUAGUUGGUAAGGUAACGGCUUACCAAGGCAAUGACGGGUAGCUGGUCUGAGAGGAUGAUCAGCCACACUGGAACUGAAACACGGUCCAGACUCCUACGGGAGGCAG